rnacentral:rRNA from 1 species
UACGUAGGUGGCAAGCGUUGUCCGGAUUUACUGGGCGUAAAGGGCGUGCAGGCGGUUUGUUAAGUGCAGAGUGAAAGCUCCCGGCUCAACUGGGAGAGGUCUUUGCAUACUGGCAAACUCGAGGGAGGCAGAGGAAAGUGGAAUUCCCGGUGUAGUGGUGAUAUGCGUAGAUAUCGGGAGGAACACCUGUGGCGAAGGCGGCUUUCUGGGCCUUACCUGACGCUGAGGUGCGAAAGCGUGGGGAGCAAACAGG